ACUGUAGCCGGUGUGUGCUGGGCGCUGGGAAGAGACAGCGCCGCCGGCCGUGGGGAUCGGACGCAGUGAUUUGCUCCCCUACCCUCAGCACCCCCCACCCAGCACCAGGAACCUGUACCUCCCACAUCCUCACCUGGCUGAGCCGCAGUAGUUCUUCAGUGGCAAGCUUUAUGUCCUGACCCAGCUAAAGCUGCCAGUUGAAGAACUGUUGCCCUCUGCCCUUGGCUUCAAGGAGGAGGAAGAAGAGAAGAAGGAGCUGCCUUCCCCUCAUCUGGAAGGUGACAGAACUGGGUCUGGGAAGGUCUGAACAGCGAGCGUGAUGAUACCUUUGGGAAAGGGAACCCUAUUCAGCUGGAGGACCUUCACCCAGAUUGAGCCAGCAGGAGAGAAAAUUUCAGAUUAGAGACCUUGGCUGAAUUGGGGAAUAGAUGGCUCUGACUACACCCAAGGUUAGUCGGUCUCUGUGUGACAAUGGGAAGAAGUGGAGCAAAGAAAACCCUGCCUACCCCUCUACCUAGAUGUCUUUCCUGACCCUCCUUCCUUCCUCGUCCACCCUUCUUUCCUACUGGCCUUUUUCCAAGUUCAAAAGUAAGUUUCCUCUUCAGGGAAAAGGUCAGACUGAGACUCCCAUCUGAGUAGUCAUCCCCCUGCUCUUAAUUUUUUCCCGUAUUUCCUUAGUCUGGCCCAGACUCUAGAUUCAGGGAUGCUUACCUCUAUGUGAGACCCUUAGACCUCCUGUCUCAUCUCCUCCACCUGUGAGGUGGAGAAUCGCACAGUUGAGCAUGCGUGAGGGAAUCAGAAGCCCACUUGUGUGGACUCAGAGCCUGGGCUCUCCUCCGCAGUGGGUGGGAACAAAACAGCUUUUCACAUAAGCUAUUGCCCUUCCCCCAUCCCUGACCAGAACCCCAGGAGCUGGGGGUGGCGGUUGGAGGGAGGGACUAGGGUUAGACCAAUGCAAGGGGCUGCUGGGAAAUCAGUCUCUGCAUUGACUUCCCACCACGCAAAGGUGGCCCAGGCUUCCCCUGCCUCCCAAAGCAGGGCUGCAGCCCCUGGUGGGGUUCCAGCUGCCACCGCUCUCUUCCCCCACUCACUUUUCCAGGAUAGUGUGUGAGAUUUUGCUCAGACCUGUGCAGGCUGGAAAUUCUCCCCUCCAGCAACCAGAAGAGGUAGGUUAUGGGAUGUAAUCCCUUUAGGGGCAUCAGGCAGAGUAAACCUGCCACCCCCAGCUCCUGAUCUAAUGUCACUCUCAGGCUCAGGCUCUGGUGUGGUUCAGCCUUGGCCCAGUCGCCCUGUCUGAAGGUGACCAAGUUCAGGGGUUACAGGAAGCUGUUUGUUCUGUUCGGGGGCAGAAGUUGUGCAGGGAGCUGGGUCCUGUUCUCCAUUUAUGAGAAGCAGAUUUAGGGCAGAGUAGAUCACUGAACCCACCCUUCCGCAGCCUGAGCUGGAUGUGUGUGGGACUGCGGUAGAGGGGGCUGCGUAGACCGAGUCCACUCAGAGGCUGCCACAAGGGUCGCUCUGUCCCUGGACAUUGCUUCCGUCCUUUCUUCCCCUCCUUGCUUCACUGGCCACAGCGUCUCCCUCUAGCCUUGGGUAUGUGGCUCUGCCAUCCUCACCCAUCAUGGAGCAGAAAUGAGGAAGAGCAGCCUGGGAACACAGAGGCAGGCAGAAGACUAGUGAAGGACCAGGCCUGGAGAGCACAGGGCCCUGUCUGGACAUCUGCAGAGGGGGGCCCAUAGAGGCCAGGAGAGCCCCAGGAGGAGGGAGGACGGCCAGCCUCCAUCGAGGACAAGCUUCCAGCCAUCUACUUCAUUCUCCGUUGCUCUCCAGUCGUCCUGCCUCCCUCAGAGAUGUGGGACCAUGUUAAAGCGUCCUUGGCUUCAUCCUGCUGCUUCCACCUCUCCCCACCAUGUAAUUUAGCUGUGAAAGGACAUAUGCAGAAAAUUCUUAAAAGAAAUUCAAAUGGAUUUCAAUGUGUGGGAAAAAAUGUGUGCUUCAUUAGUAAUUAAAGAGAGGUAAAUAUA